rnacentral:rRNA from 1 species
CCUACGGGAGGCAGCAGUGGGGGAUAUUGCACAAUGGGGGAAACCCUGAUGCAGCGACGCCGCGUGUGGGAAGACGGCCCUCUGGAUUGUAAACCACUGUCCCCAGGGACGAAGAUGACGGUACCUGGGGAGGAAGCUCCGGCAAACUACGUGCAAGCAGCCGCGGUAAUACGUAGGGAGCGCGCGUUGUCCGGAAUUACUGGGUGUAAGGGGAGCGUAGGCGGGACUGCAGGUUGCGUGUCAAAUCUACCGGCUCAACCGGUAGCCGCGCUCAGAACUGCAGUUCUUGAGUGAAGUAGAGGCAGGCGGAAUUCCUAGUGUAGCGGUGAAAUGCGUAGAUAUUAGGAGGAACACCAGUGGCGAAGGCGGCCUGCUGGGCUUUUACUGACGCUGAGGCUCGAAAGUGUGGGGAGCGAACAGGAUUAGAUACCCGUGUAGUC